CGAAUGCUUGCAUUCACCGUAAGAAGUUGAGUGGCGGACGGGUGAGUAACACGUGGGUAACCUGCCUAAAAGAAGGGGAUAACACUUGGAAACAGGUGCUAAUACCGUAUAUCUUUAAGGAUCGCAUGAUCCUUAGAUGAAAGAUGGUUCUGCUAUCGCUUUUAGAUGGACCCGCGGCGUAUUAACUAGUUGGUGGGGUAACGGCCUACCAAGGUGAUGAUACGUAGCC
rnacentral:rRNA from 1 species